AUUGAACGCUGGCGGCAGGCCUAACACAUGCAAGUCGAGCGGAUGAAGGGAGCUUGCUCCUGGAUUCAGCGGCGGACGGGUGAGUAAUGCCUAGGAAUCUGCCUGGUAGUGGGGGAUAACGUCCGGAAACGGGCGCUAAUACCGCAUACGUCCUGAGGGAGAAAGUGGGGGAUCUUCGGACCUCACGCUAUCAGAUGAGCCUAGGUCGGAUUAGCUAGUUGGUGGGGUAAAGGCCUACCAAGGCGACGAUCCGUAACUGGUUUGAGAGGAUGAUCAGUCACACUGGAACUGAGACACGGUCCAGACUCCUACGGGAGGCAGCAGUGGGGAAUAUUGGACAAUGGGCGAAAGCCUGAUCCAGCCAUGCCGCGUGUGUGAAGAAGGUCUUCGGAUUGUAAAGCACUUUAAGUUGGGAGGGAGGGCAGUAAGUUAAUACCUUGCUGUUUUGACGUUACCAACAGAAUAAGCACCGGCUAACUUCGUG
rnacentral:rRNA from 1 species